GUAAACACCAAACCCCAAUAGAUUGCCAUUAGACUACCACCGCUUGGUUCACUUGGAUACUUUGUGAUAGCUUAUCAAUUUUUGUAUUGAUUGUGUAUGGAAUAAGUAAGAUAUAAAAUGUGUUAAAAAAAAGGGAAAAUUAGAAAAAUGAGACACUUUCAUCUUAGAUUUGUUCCAAUAAGAUUUGUAGAGGAUUAUUUAGGUAAAUAAGAUUUAUAUUCUCUUUAAUACCAUUAUACCCUUAUAAUUAACCAAAUUAACCUUAAUUAAAAUUUAAAUUAAUUCGUAAUUGAUUUAAAUUUUAAUUAAAAAAAAAACACAAAAGGAUUAAAAACUUGUUUACCCUAAUAUUUUUUCACUUCUCUUCUUCUCCGCCGUGUACCUUCAAGCCUUCAACCCUUUCAAUGUCAAUUUAGGAUACAAUUCAGCGAAUUGGGGAUUUGUUCUUUGGUUUGUCAGACGGUCCUCUUCUCUCUCUACGGUUUCGUCGGACGGUAUUCUUCUCUCACUACAGGUUUCGUCGGACGGUCCCUUCACAGUUUGAUGUAAGAUCUGGUCUAAACCACAUUGCAGAUCAGGCCUGACAUCGAAAGGAUCGAGAAAUGGGUGUUACGCAUUGCUUUUGAUGAUGAGAAGAAUCCUUAUCUACCGAAGGUUUUCUAACAGAGCCAUCUUUGGAAAAUUCUUCCCUAAGGUUCUACUUCAUUCUUUGCCUGAACUGUCUUUGAUCUUUGCUCUGAUAUGUACAUAUAAUGAGCAGAGCGCUGCUAGAGCUACUGUGCCAGGAGGUCCAAGUGUACCAUGUAGUACAGCGAAGGCUGUGGAAUGGGACGCUGCUUGGUCACAGAACCUUGACCUGUCGGGUCGUGCGGCUCUUGGAGUUCAUGUUGCAGCUUAUGAGGAAGAUAAAGCCGAAGAUACCCGUCCUAAGAAGCUACAGGCAGAGAAAACUGCAGAAGGCAUUGUUUGAGGAUUAAACAAGGUUUAUAACGAAUGUUUGCAUCGCACAUUUCUCUUAUUUUCUCAAAAGACAAUACUUUAUCAUCUUCCGUAGGGUCAAUAAGUGCCAAUAAGUUGUCUCUUUAACUGAAUUGUGUUAGGAGUUUCUGAGGAUGUACCUAAGUUUCUGGUGAUUUUCUAUUUGUUUUCCUGAAUA